UACCAGCACCCCCGAGUGGUCGGGACGUUUAUUGGGCCUAAAGCAUCCGUAGCCGGUUCUACAAGUCUUCCGUUAAAUCCACCUGCUUAACAGAUGGGCUGCGGAAGAUACUAUAGAGCUAGGAGGCGGGAGAGGCAAGCGGUACUCGAUGGGUAGGGGUAAAAUCCGUUGAUCCAUUGAAGACCACCAGUGGCGAAGGCGGCUUGCCAGAACGCGCUCGACGGUGAGGGAUGAAAGCUGGGGAGCAAACCGG
rnacentral:rRNA from 1 species